CCUACGGGAGGCAGCAGUGGGGAAUAUUGGACAAUGGGCGCAAGCCUGAUCCAGCCAUGCCGCGUGAGUGAUGAAGGCCUUAGGGUUGUAAAGUUCUUUCACCGAUGAAGAUAAUGACGGUAGUCGGAGAAGAAGCCCCGGCUAACUUCGUGCCAGCAGCCGCGGUAAU
rnacentral:rRNA from 1 species